rnacentral:piRNA from 1 species
UAGGAAGGUUUUCAAGAGAAC